UACGUAGGGGGCGAGCGUUGUCCGGAAUUAUUGGGCGUAAAGAGCUCGUAGGCGGCUUGGCAAGUCGGAUGUGAAAACUCCAGGCUCAACCUGGAGCCGCCAUUCGAUACUGCUAUGGCUAGAGUCCGGUAGGGGAGUGUGGAAUUCCCGGUGUAGCGGUGAAAUGCGCAGAUAUCAGGAGGAACACCGGUGGCGAAGGCGGGUCUCUGGGCCGUAACUGACGCUGAGGAGCGAAAGCGUGGGGAGCGAACAGG
rnacentral:rRNA from 1 species